rnacentral:lncRNA from 1 species
UAGGAUUAGGUUAUAUAGUUAGGGAAAACCUCUUACUAACAAUGUACAAUCAUAUCCCUUUAAUAUCAAUGUAUUACAAAUUUUUGACAUGAUAUUAUUAGAUGAAAUUGAUUGUUUUGGUAUAUAUUUGUUUCUAUAUUUUUGUAUUAUGCGUAAAAGAGUAUCGUAAAAGCACGUCGUAUAUGCACAUCGUAAAUGGUUGCUGAUGUUUAUGACACGCAAAUGCGUGUCAUCUUCAUUUAUGACAGGGGCUUCCUUGAUACGCAUUGUGUGUCAUUAACACGCGCGUCGUAAGGUUACGACACGCGAACGCGUGUCGUCUUCCUUUAUGACAGGGCCUUCCUUGAUACGCAUUGCGUGUCGUAAACGCGUGUCGUAAUUGCACGUCGUAAAUGAGCGUCGUAAAAGCGCGUCGUCUAUAGUCGACGCGCAAAAUCGCGUCAUGUCUCUUUAUGACAGGGCCUUCCUUGACGCGCAUUUGCGUGUCGUCUGAGCCUUUUACGACGCACAAUGAGCGUCGUAAAAGGUUGUUUUUCUAGUAGUGACAACACCCAUUCUUGCUAAUAUGUUAAUGUACAAUUUCAUUUUUAGAACAUGUGCACAUACAAAAUAUCCAGCUUUAUGUUUACAUGCCAAUAAGGCUUGAGUGGUUUCAUAUCUUUUGACGUUAGGAAUACAUGACGUUGGGAGAGUCAUAGAAGGAGGAGGUGGAAGAGUUGAAGAGAGGUGAUGUCCAGUUCCAUCAUUUCCUAAUGAAAGUAAAACAAUUUCACAUUGACCUUAAAUUGGAAGACCAUCACCUGAAUAUUAAGGAAAAACAUUUUCAUAAGAAUUAGGAAGACCAUUUAUAUCUUCAUAAGACAUAAAAAAUGGAAAAAUAAAGAAUUCAAGUUAGUUGAUUUUAAUCCUUAAUUAUUAACCCAAAAUUUAAAUUAAGGCUAGGAUCCAUAUUUUCAAAUUAAACUUUUAGAAGGGAUGUCGUAAUCAAAGUUGAAUAUAUUUUAGGUAGGUAAGGCUUUUACCCAUUUCAGUUGUCACACCCCGCUAAAGCGGAAAUACGGGGUGUGGCAGUACAAAGGGUUUCAUAGCAAAAGUUAAAAGACAACACCAACCAUAGUAUUAAAAAUCAUUACAAAUUUACAAUGAGUUUGAAAAAAUAUUUAAAAGAAAUUACAAUGUAUUUAAAAGUCAACACAUGCAAAUGCUCCUAUAAGUGUUGUGUCUCUACGUGCCUCUUACUAGAUGAUUCCUAAAAAAGCAUAUAAAAUGAGCGUCAACUAUAAAAAUAGUUGGCGAGUUCAUAGGUUUACAAAAAUAUUGGUUUCAUGAAUCGUAAUCAAAGUUUUGAUAUAAGUUUCCAUAAAUAAAAGUAUAUUGCUAAAAUGAGUAAAUAAGUUUGCAUAAACAAAGUUCGUUGUUAUCAUGAGAAAUAAAGUACAUUGCCAAAAGGAUAUGCAAAGUUCACAUUCUCAUGGGAAAUACAAGUUUCAUUAGUAAAAUAAGUAUAAAAGUUUCGUUGCUAAAAUAAGUAUACAAGUUUCAUUGCUAAAAUAAGUAUACAAGUGUCGUAGCUAACAUGAUUAUACAAGGUUCGUUGCUAAAAUAAGUAUAAAAGUUUCGUUACUAAAAUAAGUAUACAAGUUUCAUUGCUAAAACAACUAUACAAGUGUCGUUGCUAACCUGAUUAUACAAGUUUCGUAUGUGUAUAAAGAUUCCAUUCAUGAGUUCAUAACCCAAGCCUAAUGAUCGAAUCGUGCCCUAUUAACUACUAUGUGUAUCACAAACAUAGAGAAUAAAAUGGUAAAAUUCACUCAAGCUAGUCGCGUGAUUGAGGAGUUGUCUACCUCCUGAUAGCACUCUCCAUAAUGACCAUGGACUCAAAUGCUUUAAUGAGUUGUGUCAAACGAUUCCAGGGACAUAAUCGCAACACAAUCCUCGUGAAUUAAAGUAACAUACAUAUAUGUAUAAAAUAUAGCAACCAAGUUUGAUACGAGUCAAAAUAAAUACAAUGAACAUAAAUAGUUUAGGACAUGCUUUUCCACCCCAAAACAUUUAAAAACUGAAAAUAGGGGAAGGUGUGAAUACUCACAAUUCUUUGAGAUAAUGCAAAUGGUGCCUUGAACUAUGCUCCACUCGUACCACUAUCAAUUCCUAUAACGAUGUUACACACUAAUGAGUCUCUAAUUGAAAUUUAAUACUAGCAUACUUACUUCUACAUUAGAAUUAUGCCAAUAAUGUGUCAAAAUUUUGAUAUUGAUAAGUCAUAAGUAUUUUUCUAUGAGAAUUAAAUUUCCAUGAAUCAAUUAUUAUAUAACAAUUUAAGUGGAAAAUUCUCAUUAUUGAAGUGUCAAUAUUUAACAUUUUAAGAAAUGUUCCAAUGAUUAAAUAUUCAUAAACUAAAUCAAUUUACUUCUAAAAUUUUCCAAACUUAGUAUUUUAGUUUCAAUUGAAGUCAAAGAUGUUAAGAUAAAUUUUCUUGAAUUUUUGAUUUGUCUAUAUGUUUUUGACAAUUUUAAUUCCUUGAAUAAUCAUAAAAUCAUGAAAAAAAAUAGUAAACUAUCAUGAAAAAUUCUUAAAAAUUUUUUGUAACUGUUUUAAAGUGUACAUAAUCUGGGAAAUAUUUUUAAAGUCAAUUUUGGAUAGUGAAUCCCUAUUUUUAGAAUUUAAGUGUGUUUAAUACUAAGAAAAUAGAAAUGAAUACUAAAUAGUUAUGAAAAUUCUCCAAACAUUGUGCACUACUGAUAUGCAAGAUAUAUAAUCUGGGAAAAAUAAUAAAUGUAUUUUCAAACAGCUUAACAUGAUUUUUCUGUUAUUGUGUUAUAGCAAUAAUCAAAAUAAAUAGGAAACAAUUUAUAAAAUUCUCCAAACUUUUUGUUCCACUGGUAAUUAAUAAAUAUAAGCUGGAAAAAAUAUUCAACUUGGUUUUCAAAUAGUUUAACUAUUUUUCUUUAUUUUAUUCAUUUAAAUAAUCAUUAAUUCAUGAAAAAUUAUUUAACAGAAGGUAAAACUCACUAAACUUUUUAUCUAUGAUUUAUAUAUAAUAUAGGAUACACUGAUGAAGUUUCAUAAUUUUUGAAUAAAUGUAGUAGUUUUUCAUCAAUUUAAUCUCUUAAACAUUUAUUAAAUCGGUAAAAAUAAGAAAUUGUCUUGGAAAAAUCUGGAAACUUUUUCAUAGAGUCUCUACGAUUUCUAGAAGAUGUGAAAAUUAAGAAAUAUGGAUUUGGACAUUCAUUACAUUAUUUUUCUAUUUAUUUCUCUUCAAAAUAAAUAAAUUAGAAUUAAAUAGAAAGCAACCUUAGAAAUAUAUGCAACUUAAUGAAACGUCUUUUCUCAGUGCAUAGGUGAUAUCUGAAAUUUACCAGAAUUUAUUGACCAUCAAAAGUACUUUAUAUGAAUUAUUACUCAAUUUUCUUGUAAAAAUAAUAAUAAAUCAAGAAAAAUGAUUUAGUUUUCAGUAAAUUUGCAGAUCAUCUUGUUUGUUCUCUUGAUCAGAAAAGAAUGUUUAUAUAUUUAUUUGUGAAUAAAUCUUUUAUCACAUAUUUCAAAGCUUUUUAACAGCAUACUUUGAUCAUCAAGCAUCUAAAGCUUGAAGAUCAUCACAUGCAUGUUGGUUUUUGGGUGAAAUACUAUCAUCGGCCAUCUUCAUAAAAAUCGUGUUUAUGAACAUAGGAUUAAUAAUCCAUCCAUAGAAUGGUGUAGAAGUAGAAAAAUAUGCAUGACAUGGUGAAAUUAUGAGUGAAAAUGAAGGGAUAAUGCUUGGUUUUUGUGAUUACCUUAAAAAGAACAAUAGAAGAAGAUGAUUUUUGGUGUCUUGUGACUCAUUUUUCUGGAAAUAUUUCGUGAGUUUGAGGGGAGGAUGAGAGAAAAUGGUGGUGGAGUGUGAGAGAGAGUGAAGAGUGAAAGAGAAGGAAGUAUGUAGGAGGAUAAAAUGAUUAUUGUCUUGGGGAUGAGUGUCAUGGAGAGGGGGUGGACGACUUUUGAGGGUAUAAUGCCCUCCCACUCUUUUAAUUUUAUAAAAAAAAAAGUUGAAUUGUUUUUAUAACAAUAUCAAACUUUUUAUAAAAUAUACACCCUAACCUAGUUUUUAUUUAUGAAACCUUGAUUUUUGACUUAUAAAUUAAGGACAAAAAUGUUAAUGAUUUAAUUUGUAAUUUCCAAGAUUAUAUUUUCCUGAAUUUAAUUAUUUUAAAUUGAUAUUCUAAGGUGCAUAAUUAUUUUCAUAUAAUUUUUGAGGUUAAAGUUUAUAAAAUUAAUUAUUUAGUGUUUUUCGGAUUUUGCUAAACUUUGAAUAUCGAAAUAAAUUGAAUCUUUGAGACUCCAAAUUAUUUUUGUGUUCCCUAACUCUUAUUCAAGUUAGAAAUAAUGUUUGUAAUUUUUUUAUGAGUUUAUUGACAUUCUAUGUAGUGAUUCCGAGAUUCAAAAAAAAUUGAGGAAUCAAGUAUACUAGUCCUAGUUUCAACUUUUACGUAAGAUACUAUAUGACUCUAACCCAAUUUCUGCUUCUACGUCAAGUGCAUUAUGUGUAUAUAUGAUUCAUGAAAAGGUGUUCAAGUGAAGGAAUGACCCGAAUUUGAAUAGGUGUUACAGUUAAAGUAACUAUAGAAGUUACGUAUCAAUGUGAAAUCUAAGUACAAUGUCCAUCGUUUCUAAUUGUUUCCUAGUUUCUAGUAGGUUAUAACAUAGCUCCUAGUUACAGAGUCUAGUAUGUGUUGUGCCUAUAUGUGCAACUAAGUUUAUUCAAAUCUAGAACUGUAUUAAAUUUUGACAGUUGUCACAUAAAUUUUAUGAAACACCUAGAUCUUUUGAGAUUCAUUGAAUCUUUCCAAUGGCAUGUUUAAUAUUUGUUAUGCUCUCACCUUUCUAAAUGGGAUACCGAGGAUCACAAACGAGAUGUGAAUAAGCAUGAAAACCUGCAUGACAACUUUGAGGUCAUUUAUCAUCUCACAUUCAUGUGCCAGUUAACCAUACACACUACAUCAACACUAAUAAUUUCUGAAUUAUGCCAUCAUUUCAACUUUAUAGUACCACAUUAGUGUGUUGGUUAACCAUGUACGCUCCACUAACAACUAAUAAAUAAAUGUCGUGUGUUUUCAUGUCUUAACAUACAAUUUCACAUUUUUCCUAAAGUAACUAGAGUGAGAUCUUUUAAAAUGAAGGUUUUAGUACUUGACAGAUUAUAAUUUUAAUCUGAUUAUGUCCUAUCGAACCCGUUCAGCUAAAGUUCCCCCACCACACAGGAAAGGUGGGAGAAAAAGACACCCAUUCAACGGUUCUUUUAUAGGCCGUUUCCUUAUACCCUCCUUGUAGCAUUGUGAUAAUGUCUAUUUUAUGCAUAUAUUUAUGACAUUUUCAUAUUAUUUUUUACUAUAUUUUAAUGUUAUUUAGAACUACAAAAUACUUAAUAUUCUUUGAAAUGUUCAACUUUAGUUAAAAUGGGAGCUGGAAUGCAAAAGGAGGAGAAAGGAGCUAAAAAAACACAAAAAUGAUGUUGUUGGAUAGCUUGAACCCUUGUCAUUGUUUUAGCCAUAUCCCAUGACUCGUAAGUUCGAUUGAUGAGAUUAAAAAUGAUCUGAAAACUAGAAAAAAUUUCGUGUUCUGAGAAAAGGUUGAUUCUCAUUUACCACGACGUGGUAAAUCGAAACUUCGUGAUCGUUGAGAUUGACUUGGAGAAUACGGGAUAUACAUUAGGACCACGACGUGGUGCAAUUACCACUUCGUGGUGAUCAGGUUUUUGGGAAUCUAUAUAUUUCGAGCAUCUGGAUGAUUUUUAGGGGGGAUUUAUGACAUUAAUUGAUCCUAGGUCGACAAGAAACCUUAGAGAAGCUGUUUUAACAGUCUAAAAGGCGGUCGGAAGGCCGUUAAGCUGACAUGACAAAGAUCUGAAGGAUGAGGGAGUGGAUUCAUAUCGGAGAUCAUGUGGUUUGUUGUUCUGACCAUGAUUAGCAUUCCACUGUGAUUCCAUGAUGUGCUAUUUUUCUGAUUUGAGUGUUAAAACCUUUUACUUGGUGUUUAUGGUUUAAUGAAUCUUCGAGUUUAUGGUUUAAUUGCUAUUUGGAUUGUUUAUUCUUAUUUAAUUUAUUUUUUCAAGUUUGAUUGAAAGAGCCACAUGUUUUAAAGAUUGUUACUUUAUUCUUUGUUGCUGAAUUAAUAGAUUUGAGAUGACCAUUUUGAUUGUAUUAAUUUGAAUGACAGUUUUCAAUGACCAUUGGUGAUUAUGACUAGAGUUGGGCCAAAACCUAGGGUUAGGAAAUAAAGUGGUGAACUUUAAUGUGUGUGCAUGAGUAGAUGACCAUUCUAUGCAUGAUUUAACUCCUAUGACCAUUAGUGUUAAAUAAGAUCAAAUCUUGCUUAAUACGAACUAAAUACUGAUUUGCAUGAUUGUUUGUUCACUUGAUCAAUGAAUUAAUAGUUAUGUUGAAAUCAAAGGAUUAGUAGUGUGAUGAUGAUGCUAGUAAUAUUAGGAAUCGUUGAAUAAUGAAUGAAUAUCCAUUUCACUUGAGUAAUUAACCAUGAUUUUGAGAUGUAAUCCAAUCUAAACUAAAGUACAUUAAGUGAUUUGUCUUCAGUCAGUUUAUCGAUAUUUGUUGUUUAGUUGUUCAUUUGAGAUUAAAUUCCAUAAAACCCAUAUUGAUUGCUUUUAUCUGUAACCUAUAAUAAAAAAAAAACUCCAAAUUAAUUCACCACUAUUUCCUAGUGUUCGACACAUGGUCUAUUAUUGCACGAUUAGGUUCACUACCUAGUGUAUUUAAUAGUUUGUUUGCAAUGAAAUCAGUUUUAUAAAUUUAAAACAUGAGCAAUUAAAUUAUAAAUUUAAAACAUGAGCAAUUAAAUUAUACACAUAAAAACCCACAUCACAUGGCUUCAUGAAUGAGGCUUAUUAUUGAUUCGACUAACUUUUAUUAUACAUAUAGUAAUUAAUCUUGUAAUACAUAUAUCAGCGUGUAUUUUAAACCAUCCAAAAUACAAGGUUUAAAUAUUAAUUAUAUUAAUUAAACUUUUAAUUACUUAAUAUUAAACCAAUUAUGAUUGAUCAUUAUUCUUUAAUUAAACAAUUAUUUAAAAUGAUUAAAGCAUUCAGGAAUUAAAUUAUUAUCUUUAAUUAAACAAUUAAUUAAUUAAUUCAAAUUUAAUCCCUAUCAUGGAUUUAUAUUUAUCUUCUAAUUAGUCUUAUAACUAAAUUACUUAUUAGAUCUAUUAGGAUCAUAUUAAUUAAUCAUUAUCUUGUCUAAGAUUAUAUCAUAAUAUUUAGGGAUUCUAUUUUAAUCAUCUAAGACAAGCAAAAAUGGAUUUUGGCUGAAAAUGAAACAGAUAAUUACCAAAUAAAACCACAUAAAUCAUAUUAGUCAAAAAAAUCCCGAAAAUUUGGAUAUGAGUCAAGUUCACGUCGUGAUAGAUGCACUGUCACAUCGUGAAGACAAUUUUUGUGAAAAAGUUUUCUUCGAUUCAAUAAAUGUGCUUUCAAUGUUAGACACACCAAGUAGCUUUGAUACUACUAAUGGGUUUAUUAGGUUACAACAAAAUGCUAAAUUCGGAAAAUCACUUAACAAUUUAGAAAGGGCACAUGCAACCUAAAAUGAUCUAUGUCUUAUACUUUGAAGGCAACAUAGUCUGAAUAAAAAAAUCUAGCAUAAACCCUAGUUAAAUCAGAAUCAUAGAAGUGUUAGGGUUUACAUACCUUAGAGUUGUUAUUGUAAACAAGCCCUUGAAUCCCUUCUUUUGUGUGUUUAGAAAGCAAACAUCAAAAGUAUGAUACUUUUAAUGGCUCACACCCAAAAUCGUAGAACCAUUGUUACAUAGAAACCCCAGGGUUGCCAUAUAAUUAUGCUAUAAUACAAUCAUAGGAUAGUUUACAAUAACAAAUAAUGAAACUGAAACAUUGAGAUGCCGAGUCAAUGACGAACAACCUUAAAAACGCCAAACCAUGGUAACAAAAUGGGAAACACCAUGACUAAUGGUGAAUUGUUUCAAUUUAAAUUACUUAUUAUUAACUGAGACUUUAGUAUUUCCAAUAAUUAUAUGAUACCUAGGUUUCUAAUAAAUUAAUAAAGCUAUAAUUCAAUGAAGUUAUUUAACACUUAAAAGUAAUUAGCCUAUCAUUAGGCUAAUACAAACAAUAACAAGAAAAAGUAAAGAAGACUUAAAAACGUGAAAAAGAACACGGUAAGCUGAAGGAACCAGAAUACUUCAAAGAUUAUUUUAUAACUUAGAUGUUCUACUGGAUAAUGAGGAAGGAGAAGGAGUAUAAGA